UACGGGGGGAGCAAGCGUUGUUCGGAUUUACUGGGCGUAAAGGGCGCGUAGGCGGCCAGCGCAAGUCAGUUGUGAAAUCUCCGGGCUUAACUCGGAACGGUCAACUGAUACUGCGCGGCUAGAGUGCGGAAGGGGCAACUGGAAUUCUCGGUGUAGCGGUGAAAUGCGUAGAUAUCGAGAGGAACACCGGUGGCGAAGGCGGCAUCCUGGACCAACACUGACGCUGAGGAGCGAAAGCCAGGGGAGCAAACGGG
rnacentral:rRNA from 1 species